GUCUCUCCUUUCUUUCCUUCUCUUCACCAAUACUUUGUCUCCGCGCCUUCCCAAAGCACAUCUUCGAUCGCCUUUCGUUAUCAUCUUCAAAGCCAUACUUCUCAAAACUAUUCAUCUAAGAUAUCGAAGAGAGUAAUCGAGAGAGAGAGAGGGAGAUGACAGAUUGGGGAUCGGUGUUCGUGUCGACGGUGCUGUUCAUCCUCCUAACUCCGGGGUUGUUGAUCCAGAUUCCGGGCCGGAACCGCGAUCGGCGUGCACAUGUACAUCGGCUCAUAGACCGACAUGACAUAAACAUCUACACCAACAAUGUCAUAUCGAGCAAAGUUUCAAGCUAAAUUGUCAUUACUUUUGUAAACUACGCAUUGUUUUGGGUGUUGCAUUUUGUUAUGAUUAUAGAAUCAAUUUGAUGUGUAUCAAUGGACCCAGAAGCAAGAGAUUUUGGUUUUCCUCUGAAUUGUAAUCUCAUUGCAACCUAUCAAAUUUAAUGAGAGAUUUAUUCGAAUAAAA